AGACUCUGAGAGGGCUCACGCCAAGGAGUACGUCCCAGAACUUUUGUCACCAGCGUCCCUGUCCCCACGGUGAAACAGAGCCACCCCCCGCCUCUGCACGGGACCCUCCAACAUUAGCAGGGACUUCCGCAGAGGGAAGAUUGCUACCUCUCAACAGUCACCAGCCAAUUUUCACUCCUUGGAAGGAAGCAGAGGAAGAUGUUUUUCACCACAGCAAGCUGUGUGACUCGACCAUAGCCUGCCCCACUCUGGACUUGAAAGACCUCCCUCAUUUAAUGCAUCAGGAGCAAAACGAGGAGGAGGAAGAAAGAGAACAAGAAGAUGCCUGUGGGGAGGAUGGCCCUGGGUACUGGAAAAGGGAUGAGCCUGUUCUGUAGUGAGCACACAAAUGUGCACGUGUAAAAAAAAAGCAAAGAACUAAACAAACACACACAAAAUACCUUUAAAACUGGUGAAACGUGAAUCAACAGGAAAUGUCAGGAGAUACAGCCCUUCGAGACUAUAAAUUGGAUGUCGGCACCUAUCCAUCUUCUCUGAUGGAAUAAACCUGCAAUUUUGACUCAGCUCACCUUGCAAUCCAUUGAUUUUCCUACCUGUUUCUAAGAAAACUGGACUUGAAUAAAAUGGAGACAGUCAUUUGGUGACUUGUGGCCAAGGAAAGGGACCUGGAAGCAGCCACUUUUUGGGACCCAGUAGGUACAUACUCUGCUUAGGACCAGUGCCAAGUUACUGAUGUAAUGAAAAGUACUAUUAUAAUUUUUAAUAUCCAGUAAUGCAUAAAAACAAAGCAGACUAAUAAUAGAGGACCAAUUAAUUCAUUGUUUUUGACACUGUCUCCUAGUGGCAACAUGGCGCAAAGGAAAGACCACAGCUUUGGGGCCAUAAAGACUUGGUUUUGAAUCUGGUUUCUUCUCCUUUAAUUAGUUUUAAGUUUCAUUUAUCUUAGUUUUAAAGAUAAGGCAUACUCAGCACCUAACCAUAUGGCUGGCAUUUACUGCUUCCCUGAAGGAUCAUACCAGUCUUUUUCCUUUGUUUCUUUUUUGUUAGUUACCUAUCUAUGUAUACAUGUAUCUAUUUAUUCAAGGAGGUUAUUUUUUGGCUAUCAAAUAGGGGACAGCAAUAAAGAAUCCAUUUAUUUCAGAUUAUGACUUAUUUGUAUUUUGUAAGAA